rnacentral:piRNA from 1 species
UAUGUCGUUUAUUAUUCUAAAUGUCAAUUG